rnacentral:misc_RNA from 1 species
CCAAUAGCGUAUAUUAAAGUUGUUGCAGUUAAAAAGCUCGUAGUUGAACUUCGGGGUUCACCCAUUGGUCAGGCUUAAUUGUCUGCACUGGUGAGAUGAAUCUCUACCUUCUGAGGAACUUUCAUGUCAUUAAUUUGGUGUGAUUGGAAAUCAGGACUGUUACUUUGAAAAAAUUAGAGUGUUUAAAGCAGGCUAACGUCUGAAUACAUUAGCAUGGAAUAAUGAAAUAGGACGGACUGAUUCUAUUUCGUUGGUUUCUAGAAUCACCGUAAUGAUUAAUAGGGAUAGUUGGGGGCAUUAGUAUUCAAUUGUCAGAGGUGAAAUUCUUGGAUUUAUUGAAGACUAACUACUGCGAAAGCAUUUGCCAAGGAUGUUUUCAUUAAUCAAGAACGAAAGUUAGGGGAUCGAAGACGAUCAGAUACCGUCGUAGUCUUAACCAUAAACUAUGCCGACUAGGGAUCGGACGAAGUUAAUUUUAUAAUGACGCGUUCGGCACCUUACG